AUGUAUAAUUAUAGUCCACAUGCCGCACGUGAUUAUUUAGGUGCUGGUCGCAGUAGUCAUGGCACAUCACAAGGGUAUGAUCCUCGACGUGGAAGAGCAAGAUACUUGGACUAUGGUGGAAUGCCAAUCACGGUUGGUUUCCUUCCAGCACCUGAAGGUAGCUCAUCUUUGUUGCGUGGACAUUCUGCUCAUAGUGCGCUUGAUCCGAGAGAAGCCAAAAGGGUGAGACUAGAUGCUGGCAUCGACCCUUACCAUGUAAGGGAAGGCACUGAGGGUCUUCAGCCGGGUCGGGUAGCUUUUUUUAAUCCUUGA
rnacentral:rRNA from 1 species